rnacentral:lncRNA from 1 species
UUCUACCAUACUCAUUACUAUUAAAACAAGUUCCCACCUUUACCUGAAUUCCUUGUAAAAAUUCUAAAUUGAAACCUUCACUCUCUUCUCUUGAUCACUUUUCCUAUUGCCUCUUUCCUCUUUUUUCUAAAAUGUCACGUAUUGUGAAAAUCUCCCUAAACCUAGGUUCCUCUUAACUUUUUAUUUUUCGGGUAAACUUUUCCAAAUCACCAACUUGACCCAAACUUAAUUAUCUCAUAUUCAUUCCUCCCACUAACUUUCUCAAUUUCUCAUAUUUGGCUCAAUUAUUCUAUCUUCACUAAUUAAUAUAAUAAAAAUAAAUAAAACAUUAUUUUUAAUUGUCAAAACAAUUCUAAAUUAUUCUACUUACUUCUAUCAUCCCUUUAUACCCCUAACUCAAGGAUACAUAUUGCGCCAACACCCAUCCAUAAAAUAAAUCAUCAAAAUCUAU